rnacentral:rRNA from 1 species
GUGUCAGCCGCCGCGGUAAUACCAGCACCCCGAGUGGUCGGGACGAUUAUUGGGCCUAAAGCAUCCGUAGCCGGUUCUGCAAGUCCCCCGUUAAAUCCAGCUGCUCAACAGAUGGGCCGCGGAGGAUACUACAGAGCUAGGAGGCAGGAGAGGCAAGCGGUACUCAGUGGGUAGGGGUAAAAUCCGUUGAUCCAUUGAAGACCACCAGUGGCGAAGGCGGCUUGCCAGAAUGCGCUCGACGGUGAGGGAUGAAAGCUGGGGGAGCAAACCGGAUUAGAUACCCCCGUAGUCC